rnacentral:rRNA from 1 species
CCCACCUUCAAGCGCAUCCACACACACACACACCACAGACCACCUCUCCCCGCCCAAGCAUCCCCAUCCGCAUCCUCAUCCAUGGCCCCCAAGGCAGCCGAGAAGAAGCCGGUGGAGAAGACCCCGGCGGGGAAGAAGCCCAAGGCGGAGAAGAAGGUGCCGGCGUCCAAGGAGGGCGGCGGGGACAAGAAGGGCAAGAAGAAGGCCAAGAAGAGCGUGGAGACGUACAAGAUCUACAUCUUCAAGGUGCUGAAGCAGGUGCACCCGGACAUCGGCAUCUCCUCCAAGGCCAUGUCCAUCAUGAACUCCUUCAUCAACGACAUCUUCGAGAAGCUGGCCGGCGAGUCGGCCAAGCUGGCGCGCUACAACAAGAAGCCCACCAUCACGUCCCGCGAGAUCCAGACCUCCGUCCGCCUCGUCCUCCCCGGCGAGCUCGCCAAGCACGCCGUCUCCGAGGGCACCAAGGCCGUCACCAAGUUCACCUCCGCCUGAUUCGGUCCUGUCCCUGUGUGUGUCUUCCUGGUGGAUGGAUCGAUGUCGCCCUGUAGUUUCCUGCUCGGACUUUGUCCUCUUGUAACUUGUGCUGGCUGUGUCUUGUGUGGGAUCAUAUUUCAUGAUCUGGAGAAAUAGUAGCGGUGCUUAUUUCAGUUCUUGCCAUGAUCCUGUUCGUGCUACUUUGUCUUGGUUCGAUCUGUGGUGCAAGCUCGCUUUUCUCUGUAAAUCUCUGUGGACGACGACUGUGAACUUGCAGAGAUGUUUCCCUG